rnacentral:rRNA from 1 species
AGAGUUUGAUCCUGGCUCAGAACGAACGCUGGCGGCAGGCUUAACACAUGCAAGUCGAACGCCCCGCAAGGGGAGUGGCAGACGGGUGAGUAACACGUGGGAACAUGCCCAAAGGUACGGAAUAUUCUCGGGAAACUGAGAGCAAUACCGUAUGUGCCCGAAAGGGGAAAGAUUUAUCGCCUUUGGAUUGGCCCGCGUCAGAUUAGCUAGUUGGUGGGGUAAAGGCCUACCAAGGCGAUGAUCUGUAGCUGGUCUGAGAGGACGAACAGCCACACUGGGACUGAGACACGGCCCAGACUCCUACGGGAGGCAGCAGUGGGGAAUAUUGACAAUGGGGGCAACCCUGAUCCAGCGAUGCCGCGUGUGUGAAGAAGGCCUGCGGGUUGUAAAGCACUUUCAGUUGGGAAGAGAAGCGCGAUGUGAAAAAUUGUUGCGGUGGAGACGUUACUGAUAGAAAGAAGCACCGGCUAACUCUGUGCCAGCAGCCGCGGUAAUACAGAGGGUGCGAGCGUUAAUCGGAGUGACUGGGCGUAAAGGGCGCGUAGGCGGUUAUAUUAGUCUGAUGUGAAAGACCUGGGCUUAACCUGGGAUAUGCGUUGGAAACGGUAUAGCUAGAGUGUGUGAGAGGGAAGAGGAAUUUCCGGAGUAGCGGUGAAAUGCGUAGAUCUCGGAAAGAACACUAGUGGCGAAGGCGACUUUCUGGCACACAACUGACGCUGAGGCGCGAAAGCGUGGGGAGCGAACAGGAUUAGAUACCCUGGUAGUCCACGCCCUAAACGAUGGAUACUAGGCGUAAGAGGUAUCGACCCCUCUUGUGCCGCAGCUAACGCACUAAGUAUCCCGCCUGGGGAGUACGGCCGCAAGGGUUGAAACUCAAAUGAAUUGACGGGGACCCGCACAAGCGGUGGAGCAUGUGGAUUAAUUCGAUACUAACCGAAGAACCUUACCCAGGUUUGACAUCGAUCGAAAGCUCUAGAGAUAGGGCCUUCCUCCCAAAAGGAGGACGUGAAGACACCUUGAUGCAUGGCUGUCACAAGCUCGUGCCGUGGAGGCUGUUACSGWUAAGUCCGCCUAACGGAGCGCAACCCAUGUCCCGUGUUACCAGCAUGAAAGAUGGGGACUCACAGGAGACCGCCGGUGUAAGCCGGAGGAAGGUGUGGAUGACGUCAAGUCAGCAUGGCAGUUACGCCUGGGGCUUCACACAUGCUACAAUGGGCGAAACAAAGGGCAGCAAUACCGCGAGGUGGAGCAAAUCCCAAAAAUACGCCCCCAGUUCAGAUUGCAGUCUGCAACUCGACUGCAUGAAGGCGGAAUCGCUAGUAAACGCAGGUCAGCUAUACUGCGUUGAAUACGUUCCCGGGUCUUGUACACACCGCCCGUCAAGUCACCUGAAUUGUCUUCACCCGAAGUCCGUGGCCUAACCCGCAAGGGAAGGAGCGGCCGAAGGUGAGGGGGGUAAGGGGGACUAAGUCGUAACAAGGUAACC